UACGAAGGGGGCGAGCGUGGUUCGGAUUUACUGGGCGUAAAGCGUGCGCAGGCGGUUUUGUAAGCCAGAUGUGAAAUCCCCGGGCUUAACCUGGGAAUGGCAUUUGGGACUGCAAGGCUGGAGUGCGGCAGAGGAGACUGGAAUUCCUGGUGUAGCAGUGAAAUGCGUAGAUAUCAGGAGGAAUACCGAUGGCGAAGGCAGCCUCCUGGGCCAGCACUGACGCUCAUGCACGAAAGCGUGGGGAGCAAACAGG
rnacentral:rRNA from 1 species